AUUGAACGCUGGCGGCAGGCCUAACACAUGCAAGUCGAGCGGAGCGGCGGACGGGUGAGUAAUUCCUAGGUAUCUGCCUGGUAGUGGUGGAUAACGUCCGGAAACGGGCGCUAAUACCGCAUCCUAUCAGAUGAGCCUAGGGCGGAUUAGCUAUUUGGUGUGGUAAAGGCCUACGAAGGCGACGAUCCGUAACUGGUAUGAGAGGAUGAGCAGGCACACUGGAACUGAGACACGGUGCAGACUCCUACGGGAGGCAGGAGGGGGGAAGAGGGGACAAUGGGCGAAAGGCGGAUCCAGCCAUGCCGCGUGUGUGAAGAGGGUCUUCGGGUUGUAAAGCACUUUAAGUUGGGAGGCGUUACCAACAGAAUAAGCACCGGCUAACUACGUGCCAGCAGCCGCGGUAAUUC
rnacentral:rRNA from 1 species